UACGAGAGGCCCAAACGUUAUUCGGAAUUACUGGGCUUAAAGAGUUCGUAGGCGGCGCAGAAAGUAGGGUGUGAAAGCCCUCGGCUUAACCGAGGAAUUGCGCUCUAAACUACUGUGCUUGAGGAACCUAGAGGUGAGCAGAACUGAUGGUGGAGCGGUGAAAUGCGUUGAUAUCAUCAGGAAUACCGGAGGCGAAGGCGGCUCACUGGGGGUUUUCUGGACGCUGAGGAACGAAAGCCAGGGGAGCGAACGGG
rnacentral:rRNA from 1 species